GCUCAGAUUGAACGCUGGCGGCAGGCCUAACACAUGCAAGUCGAGCGGCAGCACGGGUACUUGUACCUGGUGGCGAGCGGCGGACGGGUGAGUAAUGCCUAGGAAUCUGCCUGGUAGUGGGGGAUAACGUCCGGAAACGGGCGCUAAUACCGCAUACGUCCUACGGGAGAAAGUGGGGGAUCUUCGGACCUCACGCUAUCAGAUGAGCCUAGGUCGGAUUAGCUAGUUGGUGAGGUAAUGGCUCACCAAGGCGACGAUCCGUAACUGGUCUGAGAGGAUGAUCAGUCACACUGGAACUGAGACACGGUCCAGACUCCUACGGGAGGCAGCAGUGGGGAAUAUUGGACAAUGGGCGAAAGCCUGAUCCAGCCAUGCCGCGUGUGUGAAGAAGGUCUUCGGAUUGUAAAGCACUUUAAGUUGGGAGGAAGGGUACUUACCUAAUACGUGAGUAUUUUGACGUUACCGACAGAAUAAGCACCGGCUAACUCUGUGCCAGCAGCCGCGGUAAUACAGAGGGUGCAAGCGUUAAUCGGAAUUACUGGGCGUAAAGCGCGCGUAGGUGGUUUGUUAAGUUGGAUGUGAAAGCCCCGGGCUCAACCUGGGAACUGCAUCCAAAACUGGCAAGCUAGAGUAUGGUAGAGGGUGGUGGAAUUUCCUGUGUAGCGGUGAAAUGCGUAGAUAUAGGAAGGAACACCAGUGGCGAAGGCGACCACCUGGACUGAUACUGACACUGAGGUGCGAAAGCGUGGGGAGCAAACAGGAUUAGAUACCCUGGUAGUCCACGCCGUAAACGAUGUCAACUAGCCGUUGGGAGCCUUGAGCUCUUAGUGGCGCAGCUAACGCAUUAAGUUGACCGC
rnacentral:rRNA from 1 species